GGGCCCGCACAAGCGGUGGAGCAUGUGGUUUAAUUCGAUGAUACGCGAGGAACCUUACCAGGGCUUAAAUGGGAGAUGACAGGGGCAGAGACGCCCUUUUCUUCGGACAUCUUUCAAGGUGCUGCAUGGUUGUCGUCAGCUCGUGCCGUGAGGUGUCAGGUUAAGUCCUAUAACGAGCGCAACCCCUACCGUUAGUUGCCAGCGAUUCAAGUCGGGGACUCUAACGGGACUGCCGGUGCAAACCGUGAGGAAGGUGGGGACGACGUCAAAUCAUCACGGCCCUUACGUCCUGGCUACACACGUGCUACAAUGGUCGGUACAGAGGGAAGCCAACCCGCGAGGGGGAGCC
rnacentral:rRNA from 1 species